rnacentral:rRNA from 1 species
UUGAAUGGCCGCAGUAUUUUGACUGUGCAAAGGUAGCAUAAUCAAUAGUUUCUUAAUUAGAAGCUGGAAUGAAAGGUUGGACGAGAAAAUAACUGUCUCUUUGAUAAAUUUAUAGAAUUUUAUUUUUAAGUUAAAAAGCUUAAGUAUAUUUAAAAGACGAGAAGACCCUAUAGAGUUUUAUAUUUUAUAAUAUCUAAUUUUUUUUUAUAAUAAUUUUAAUUUUAUAUUAUAAAAUAUUUUGUUGGGGUGAUUAAAAAAUUUAAUUAACUUUUUUUUUAGUUUAACAUUAAUUUAUGAUUUGAUGAUCCAUUAUUUAUGAUUAUAAGAUUAAAUUACCUUAGGGAUAACAGCGUAAUUUUUUUAUAGAGUUCUAAUCGAUAAAAAAGUUUGCGACCUCGAUGUUGGAUUAAAAUAAAUGCUUGGUGUAGAAGUUAAGCUAAUUAGGUCUGUUCGACCUUUAAAAUUUUACAUGAUCUGAGUUUAAACCGGUGUAAGCCAGGUUGGUUUCUAUCUUUAAAUUAAUAAAAUAUUUUAGUACGAAAGGACCAAAUAUUAUUAAUAGUUAAUAAAAUUUUUGAAUAUAAAU